AUAAUCUCCAUCCCUAGAAAAUAAGUCGUAUUUUCUAGAUUAGUUAUCUGAAACUCAUUCAUCAGCACCUUCUUGAACUUAGUUAUCUCAUGUUCACAACUUCCUAUUAGCAAUAUGUCAUAAAAAGUGUGAUGAACAUAGACAUCAUACUACAUAUCACACUUUCUGAAUCCUUGGUGCUUAAAAAAUGAAUCAAUUUUCAAAUUCCAAGCUCUAGGAGCUUGUUUCAG
rnacentral:lncRNA from 1 species